rnacentral:lncRNA from 1 species
AAAUUUCAUCUUUGAAUCCAGAUUUACUUUUACUCUAUUUACAUAAGCGAAAACGUCCAUUGGUUGUGUUUGAAUGUAUGUAUGCUUUUGAAUACGAUUGAUGUCUACCAGAAAUGCAUAAAAUGCAGUAAUAGUAUUUACUAAGGACGAACGAGGGUAGUAGUUCAACGAAGCUUCGCCGGUUCAUCCCCACUACAAAUCCCCAGUAGAGCAAAU